ACUGGGACUGAGACACGGCCCAGACUCCUACGGGAGGCAGCAGUGAGGAAUCUUCCACAAUGGGCGAAAGCCUGAUGGAGCAACGCCGCGUGCAGGAUGAAGGCCUUCGGGUUGUAAACUGCUUUUAUGAGUGAAGAAUAUGACGGUAACUCAUGAAUAAGCACCGGCUAACUACGUGCCAGCAGCCGCGGUCAUACGUAGGGUGCAAGCAUUAUCCGGAGUGACUGGGCGUAAAGAGUUGCGUAGGUGGUUUAUUAAGUGAAUAGUGAAAACUGGAGGCUCAACCUUACAGACUAUUAUUCAAACUGGUAAACUCGAGAGUAGUAGAGGUAACUGGAAUUUCUUGUGUAGGAGUGAAAUCCGUAGAUAUAAGAAGGAACACCAAUGGCGUAGGCAGGUUACUGGGCUAUCUCUGACACUGAGGCACGAAAGCGUGGGGAGCGAACCGGAUUAGAUACCCGGGUAGUCCACGCCGUAAACGAUGGAUACUAGCUGUUUGGGGUAUCGACCCCUCAAGUAGCGAAGCUAACGCGUUAAGUAUCCCGCCUGUGGAGUACGGCCGCAAGGCUAAAA
rnacentral:rRNA from 1 species